rnacentral:lncRNA from 1 species
UUUGAGGCUACUUAAGGUGAAAGGUAAAAGUUACAACAUAGCUGGAAAAAUGACCCUUGCAAAGAACAAGAGGGUAUUGACUUUAAGUUUAGUGAAUCAGAGGUCAAGAUCACAAUGAUGAUUACAGAUUACUCAAAGUCUAUAUACAUGUACAUGUAUGAUUGUCAUUAACUAAAUGAAUCCAUCUUUAAUUAUUCCUGUAAUGUAUAUCGAAAUAUCUGAGGAGUUGUGACAGUAGGUUGAGGGAUAUAACUUGAAAAAGUAUUAAUUUACAUUUCAACAAAUUCCAUUGGUAUAUAAAAUGAAAGGGCGAGGCGAACCUAUACAUGCUAUAUAUGAGGGUCUGGAUGGGGGGUCUGUUAUUCUGUAAACAUUUAAUUUUCACCCCUUUUUUCUCUAAUCUUUAAAAAAUUAACCCCUUUUUUCUCUAAUCUUCAUUUUUUUUGCCCGUUAUUCUCUAAUCUUCAUUUUUUAAGGGCAUUAUUCUUUAAUCAUUUAACCCCAUCCAAACCCUCAUAUAUGUUACUGCAUGUUGUUGUUGUUUUUUUAAACAGUUCAGAAGCAUGUUGAGAAAGUUUAGUAUACUUUUGUUGAAUUCUCAAAUUUUUGUGAGUUUCAUUGUCUUGGCCAUACCUGCAACAAAA